rnacentral:rRNA from 1 species
UACAGAGGUCUCAAGCGUUGUUCGGAUUCAUUGGGCGUAAAGGGUGCGUAGGCGGCGCGGUAAGUCGGGUGUGAAAUCUCGGAGCUUAACUCCGAAACUGCAUUCGAUACUGCCGUGCUUGAGGACUGGAGAGGAGACUGGAAUUUACGGUGUAGCGGUGAAAUGCGUAGAUAUCGUAAGGAAGACCAGUGGCGAAGGCGGUCUCUGGACAGUUCCUGACGCUGAGGCACGAAGGUCAGGGAGCAAACGGG